GAUGAACGCUAGCUACAGGCUUAACACACGCAAGUCGAGCGGUAGCACAGAGAGCUUGCUCUCGGGUGACGAGCGGCGGACGGGUGAGUAAUGUCUGGGAAACUGCCUGAUGGAGGGGGAUAACUACUGGAAACGGUAGCUAAUACCGCAUAACGUCGCAAGACCAAAGUGGGGGACCUUCGGGCCUCAUGCCAUCAGAUGUGCCCAGAUGGGAUUAGCUAGUAGGUGGGGUAACGGCUCACCUAGGCGACGAUCCCUAGCUGGUCUGAGAGGAUGACCAGCCACACUGGAACUGAGACACGGUCCAG
rnacentral:rRNA from 1 species